AGAGUUUGAUCCUGGCUCAGAUUGAACGCUGGCGGCAUGCCUUACACAUGCAAGUCGAACGGCAGCGCGGGAGCAAUCCUGNCGGCGAGUGGCGAACGGGUGAGUAAUACAUCGGAACGUGCCCAAUAGUGGGGGAUAGCCCGGCGAAAGCCGGAUUAAUACCGCAUGAGACCUGAGGGUGAAAGCGGGGGAUCGCAAGACCUCGCGCUAUUGGAGCGGCCGAUGUCAGAUUAGCUAGUUGGUGGGGUAAAAGCCUACCAAGGCAACGAUCUGUAGUUGGUCUGAGAGGACGACCAGCCACACUGGGACUGAGACACGGCCCAGACUCCUACGGGAGGCAGCAGUGGGGAAUUUUGGACAAUGGGCGCAAGCCUGAUCCAGCAAUGCCGCGUGCAGGAAGAAGGCCUUCGGGUUGUAAA
rnacentral:rRNA from 1 species